GUGCUUGCUUUGGCAGCACAUAUACUAAAAUUGGAACGAUACAGAGAAGAUUAGCAUGGUCCCUAACACAAGGAUGACAUGAAUAAAUUUAUAAAAAAGAAAAUAACUGUU
rnacentral:snRNA from 1 species